GGCGGCAUAGCCAAGUGGCAAGGCAGAGGUCUGCAAAACCUUUAUCCCCAGUUCGAAUCUGGGUGCCGCCUCCA
rnacentral:tRNA from 1 species